GACUGGAUGGCCGAGCGGUCCAAGGCGCUACGUUCAGGUCGUAGUCUCGAAAGGGGCGUGGGUUCGAAUCCCACUUCAGUCA
rfam:Emiliania huxleyi CCMP1516 EMIHTscaffold_168_Cont4711, whole genome shotgun sequence.